rnacentral:rRNA from 1 species
UACGUAGGGUGCGAUCGUUAAUCGGAAUUACUGGGCGUAAAGCGUGCGCAGGCGGUUUUGUAAGACCGAUGUGAAAUCCCCGGGCUUAACCUUGGAACUGCAUUUGUGACUGCAAGACUAGAGUGCGGCAGAGGGGGGUAGAAUUCCACGUGGAGCAGGGAAAUGCGUAGAUAUGUGGAGGAAUACCGAUGGCGAAGGCAGCCCCCGGGGUCGACACUGACGCUCAUGCACGAAAGCGUGGGGAGCAAACAGG